AGAACGAACGCUGGCGGCAGGCCUCAAACAUGCAAGUCUAGGGGGCGUAGCAAUACGUCACCGGCGGACGGGUGCGUAACACGUGGGAAUGUACUUACUGGUUCGGAACAACUCAGGGAAACUUGAGCUAAUACCGAAUGUGCCCGAAAGGGGAAAGAUUUAUCGCCAGUAAAUCAGCCCGCGUCCGAUUAGCUAGUUGGCGGGGUAAAGGCCCACCAAGGCGACGAUCGGUAGCUGUUCUGAGAGGAAGAUCAGCCACACUGGGACUGAGACACGGCCCAGACUCCUACGGGAGGCAGCAGUUGGGAAUCUUGGACAAUGGGGGAAACCCUGAUCCAGCCAUGCCGCGUGAGUGAUGAAGGCCUUCGGGUUGUAAACUCUUUCGACGGGGACGAUAAUGACGGUACCCGUAGAAGAAGCUCCGGCUAACUUCGCGCCAGCAGCCGC
rnacentral:rRNA from 1 species